UCCCUGGAGGACUAGUGGUCAGGCCACAGCUCUCUCACCGUUGUGGCCUGGGUUCGAUUCCCAGCCAGGGAA
rnacentral:tRNA from 1 species